CCUACGGGUGGCAGCAGUGGGGAAUAUUGGACAAUGGGCGAAAGCCUGAUCCAGCCAUGCCGCGUGUGUGAAGAAGGCCUUCGGGUUGUAAAGCACUUUCAGUGGGGAAGAAGGCCUUGGGGCUAAUACCCUCGAGGAAGGACAUCACCCACAGAAGAAGCACCGGCUAACUCCGUGCCAGCAGCCGCGGUAAUACGGAGGGUGCGAGCGUUAAUCGGAAUUACUGGGCGUAAAGCGCGCGUAGGCGGUCUGAUAAGCCGGUUGUGAAAGCCCCGGGCUCAACCUGGGAACGGCAUCCGGAACUGUCAGGCUAGAGUGCAGGAGAGGAAGGUAGAAUUCCCGGUGUAGCGGUGAAAUGCGUAGAGAUCGGGAGGAAUACCAGUGGCGAAGGCGGCCUUCUGGACUGACACUGACGCUGAGGUGCGAAAGCGUGGGUAGCAAACAGGAUUAGAUACCCGAGUAGUC
rnacentral:rRNA from 1 species